rnacentral:lncRNA from 1 species
UUGUUUAGAAGUAGGAGUCUUAAGUAAGAGUCCUAUUAGGAGUUAGGGUUUAGAAGCCCUAUAAAUAGUCAUGUAUUCCACCUCUUUUCAUAAGUAAUAGAUGAAUCUUUUCUGUAGCCUUUGAGCAGCAACUCCAAGGGAGGAACCCCUAUAGAGUUCCAAGGAGGCCGAUCCCCUAAAGAGAUCAACCCCAAGUUUAGAAUCUACAAGGG